rnacentral:rRNA from 1 species
AUUGAACGCUGGCGGCAGGCUUAACACAUGCAAGUCGAACGAGUGGCGGACGGGUGAGUAAUGCUUGGGAAUCUAGCUUAUGGAGGGGGAUAACUACGGGAAACUGUAGCUAAUACCGCGUACCAUAGGAUGAGGCUAUAUUGUAUCAGCUAGUUGGUGAGGUAAUGGCUCACCAAGCCGACGAUCUCUAGCUGGUCUGAGAGGAUGACCAGCCACACUGGGACUGAGACACGGCCCAGACUCCUACGGGAGGCAGCAGUGGGGAAUAUUGCGCAAUGGGGGCAACCUGACGCAGCCAUGCCGCGUGAAUGAAGAAGGCCUUCGGGUUGUAAAGUUCUUUCGGUAGCGAGGCGUUAACUACAGAAGAAGCACCGGCUAACUCCGUGCCAGCCGCCGCGGUAAUAC